GACGAGGGAUCCUAGCGUUGUUCGGAAUCAUUGGGCGUAAAGAGUAUGUAGGCGGCCUUGUAAGUCAGUUGUGAAAGCCCCGGGCUCAACCCGGGAAGUGCAAUUGAUACUGCCUGGCUUGAAUGUGGAAGAGGGUAGUAGAAUUCCAGGUGUAGUGGUGAAAUACGUAGAUAUCUGGAGGAAUACCGGUGGCGAAGGCGGCUACCUGGUCCUACAUUGACGCUGAGAUACGAAAGCAUGGGGAGCAAACAGG
rnacentral:rRNA from 1 species